AACUUCAACAGACGAUUUCCUCUGACUCGUGCUCCGUGUCUUGAAUACCCUCCUCCUUUGGUGAUGUGGAACACAGGGAUUGUUAAUGCCCUGGUGUCUACUCAUGCUGCUGCCAACUCCAGGAUGUGCCAUUCAGCCGUACGAAUUUCCGUGCCAUAUCAGGAGGAUACCCGGACAUCGGGAUUCACUGCGCAGACUUCAAUAUCGAGCCGGUAGCCCAGUCGUAGCAGCCUGCAAGACGGAGCCUAGAUCCAACAAGGCUACCAUCCCGGGACCUCCAACGCUAGCGGUGCGUAAUCUCUGCUGACACCUCUGUCCAUGAUGAAUACAUCGAAAAUGUUACCUAAUCCACUCCUCCACCCACUGAUGCAAGUCCACCUGCCUCACCGAUGCCAGCUAAAUACAAGUCGAUGGGUCCCGAUGACAUCAUGACAGCCAUAGCAGAUGCCUCCUCACUGCGUGACAAGAUGACACCAAGCCGCUGCAGAAGCCACCUGUCUCUCCCCUCCCCUCUAUCUCUCUAUCUCUAUUUCUCCAUUCCCUUACAGGUCUCACAGCCCUUCCAUGAAACAUUCCAAGUAAUAUCCAGAUGACCACCAGAUCGGAUGACAGCCCGAACUGUCAAAGUUAAAGUCUGAUACCGGCACCCUGACAGCGCUUAAAGACCUCCUUCUUCAUGAUUGGUCGCCAAAACACCUCCUUCUUCACGAUUGGUCGCCGCCCGGACCUGCCCAGCAGCGAUUGGUCAUAUUCUUCAAAAAAGAUUUGCCGCCGAGGCCUCCAGGGAACACCCGGAGAGGAUAUACACGUCUCCUCUCCGAUUGGCCAACACCCGGACCAUCCCAGCAGCGAUUGGCUGACAUUUUUGAAAGACACCUUACCGCCACCAGCGGCAGAGACUUGGAACCGGGACUUAUACGUCCCCCCUCUGAUUGGCUCACUCGAUAUCACGGACAGCC